rnacentral:rRNA from 1 species
AUAGCGUAUAUUUAAGCUGCUGCAGUUAAAAAGCUCGUAGUUGGAUUUCGGAUGGGUUCCGCCGGUCCGCCGUUUCGGUGUGCACUGACGGCGCCCAUCUUGCUGUCGGGGACGGGCUCCUGGGCUUAACUGUCCGGGACUCGGAGUCGCCGAGGUUACUUUGAGUAAAUUAGAGUGUUCAAAGCAGGCCUACGCUCUGAAUACGUUAGCAUGGAAUAACACGAUAGGACUCUGGCCUAUCUUGUUGGUCUGUGGGACCGGAGUAAUGAUUAAGAGGGACGGUCGGGGGCAUUCGUAUUUCGUUGUCAGAGGUGUAAUUCUUGGAUUUA